AUUGAACGCUGGCGGCAGGCUUAACACAUGCAAGUCGAGCGGAGAUGAGGUGCUUGCGCCUUAUCUUAGCGGCGGACGGGUGAGUAAUGCUUAGGAAUCUGCCUAUUAGUGGGGGACAACAUUCCGAAAGGAAUGCUAAUACCGCAUACGUCCUACGGGAGAAAGCAGGGGAUCUUCGGACCUUGCGCUAAUAGAUGAGCCUAAGUCGGAUUAGCUAGUUGGUGGGGUAAAGGCCUACCAAGGCGACGAUCUGUAGCGGGUCUGAGAGGAUGAUCCGCCACACUGGGACUGGAGCACGGCCCAGACUCCUACGGGAGGCAGCAGUGGGGAAUAUUGGACAAUGGGGGGAAACCUGAUCCAGCCAUGCCGCGUGUGUGAAGAAGGCCUUAUGGUUGUAAAGCACUUUAAGCGAGGAGGAGGCUACUGAGACUAAUACUCUUGGAUAGUGGACGUUACUCGCAGAAUAAGCACCGGCUAACUCUGUGCCAGCCGCCGCAGUAACAC
rnacentral:rRNA from 1 species